UACGUAGGGGGCUAGCGUUGUCCGGAAUCAUUGGGCGUAAAGAGCGCGUAGGCGGCCCGGUAAGUCCGCUGUAAAAGUCACAGGCUCAACCUGUGAAUGUCAGUGGAUACUGCCGGGCUAGAGUCCGGAAGAGGCGAGUGGAAUUCCUGGUGUAGCGGUGGAAUGCGCAGAUACCAGGAGGAACACCCAUAGCGAAGGCAGCUCGCUGGGACGGUACUGACGCUGAGGCGCGAAAGCGUGGGGAGCGAACAGG
rnacentral:rRNA from 1 species